ACUGUUUUGAUCCUAGACAUUAUAUUGCUUGUAAUUAUAAUAAUACAUGCCAGCCUCCACACACCUGUGAGUACCGCCCCACUUGGAGCCGGUAUCAGGCACACCACCACUGUGGCAGCCCAAGACACCUAGCCUCGCCACACCCCCACUGGGCCUCAGCAGUAGUAAACACUAAGCAAUAAGCCUGGACACUUGACUUGGUAAUAAUUAUACACCCGGCCGGUAAACCUCGUGCCAGCCACCGCGGUUAAACUUCGUGCCAGCCACCGCGGUAAACUUCGUGCCAGCCACCGCGGUUAUACGAGGGGCCAAAAACAAUAUAUUCCGGCGUAAAAUGUGACUAAAGAGUAAUUUCAAACCGAGGGAAGAACCAAAUAUAAAGUUGUAAAAUACGCAGUGCACCAGGUAAACUUCAUCGCCCUCACUACAUAAACCUCCUUGACCUCACGAAAACUGAGACCCAAACUAGGAUUAGAUACCCUACUAUGCCCAGCCGUAAACUAUGGUGUAACUACACCCGCCAGAGAAUUACAACGCCUAGCUUGAAACUCAAAAGACUUGACAGUAUCUCACACACCCCUAGAGGAGCCUGUCCUAUAAUCGAUAACCCACGCUAAACCUUACCUGCCCUUGAACAAAUCAGCCUAUAUACCUCCGUCGCCAGUCCGCCUGUCAACAGUUAAUAAAGCGCGUACAAUAGCCCAUCGCUCACACGACAGGUCAAGGUGUAGCUAAUGGGCAUAGGCAGAGAUGGGCUACAUUUUCUCCACUAGAAAACACCUAAAAUGCAAUGAAAUGUGACUUGUAAGGUGGAUUUAGCAGUAAGCGAGGUCAGACAAGCCCCCCUGAAGCCUUCCAUGAGAUGUGUACACACCGCCCGUCACCCUCCUCAUAAACACAUUAAACGUAACUAACAUGCCCCUAAAAUAAAGAUGAGGUAAGUCGUAACACGGUAAGCGUACUGGAAAGUGCGCUUGGCUAAU
rnacentral:rRNA from 1 species